GUAGGGGGCGAGCGUUGUCCGGAUUUAUUGGGCGUAAAGAGCGUGUAGGCGGCCAGGCAAGUCCGACGUGAAAUCUGGAGGCUCAACCUCCAGCGGUCGUUGGAAACUGCUUGGCUAGAGUCCGGAAGAGGAGAGUGGAAUUCCUGGUGUAGCGGUGAAAUGCGCAGAUAUCAGGAAGAACACCGAUGGCGAAAGCAGCUCUCUGGGACGGUACUGACGCUGAGACGCGAAAGCGUGGGGAGCGAACAGGAUUAGAUACCCUGGUAGUCCACGCCGUAAACGAUGGGUGCUAGGUGUGGGCGGUGUCGACUCCGUCCGUGCCGAAGCUAACGCAUUAAGCACCCCGCCUGGGGAGUACGGCCGCAAGGCUAAA
rnacentral:rRNA from 1 species